AGUGAACGCUGGCGGCAGGCCUAACACAUGCAAGUCGAACGGCAGCACGGCAGUAGCAAUACUGUGGGUGGCGAGUGGCGGACGGGUGAGGAAUACAUCGGGAUCUACCCUGUUGUGGGGGAUAACGUAGGGAAACUUACGCUAAUACCGCAUAAGAACUGAGGUUGAAAGCGGCGGACCGCAAGGCGUCGCGCGAUUGGAUGAACCGAUGUCCGAUUAGCUAGUUGGCGGGGUAAAGGCCCACCAAGGCGACGAUCGGUAGCUGGUCUGAGAGGACGACCAGCCACACUGGAACUGAGACACGGUCCAGACUCCUACGGGAGGCAGCAGUGGGGAAUAUUGGACAAUGGGCGCAAGCCUGAUCCAGCCAUGCCGCGUGGGUGAAGAAGGCCUCGGUUGUAAGCCUUUGUCCGAAGAAAGACAUCGUAUACCGGU
rnacentral:rRNA from 1 species